UACGGAGGAGGCAAGCGUUAUCCGGAAUUAUUGGGCGUAAAGCGUCCGCAGGUGGCACCUCAAGUCUGCUGUCAAAGACCGGGGCUUAACCCCAGAAAGGCAGUGGAACUGAAGUGCUAGAGUGCAGUAGGGGUAGAGGGAAUUCCCGGUGUAGCGGUGAAAUGCGUAGAGAUCGGGAAGAACAUCGGUGGCGAAAGCGCUCUGCUGGACUGCAAACUGAC
rnacentral:rRNA from 1 species